rnacentral:rRNA from 1 species
UCCCGACGCUCCAAGUCGCAGCCACAAUUAUUGGGUCUAAAACAUUCGUAGCUCGUUUUUUAAGUUCUUUGUGAAAUCUGACAUCUUAAGUGUUAGGCGCGCAAGGAAUACUGGAAAACUUGGGACCGGAGGAAGUAAGGAGUACGACCGAGGUAGUAGUAAAAUAUGUUAAUCUUGGUUGGACUAACAACAGCGAAGGCACCUUACUAAUACGGAUCUGACAGUGAGGAAUGAAGGCUAGGGUCGCGAAACG